rnacentral:rRNA from 1 species
AACGGGUGAGUAACGCGUAUGCAACCUGCCUGUAACCGGGCCAUAGCCCCGAGAAAUCGGGAUUAAUAGCCCAUAUUAUCCCUUAGUCGCCUGACUUCGGGAUGAAAGCUCCGGCGGUUACAGAUGGGCAUGCGUGACAUUAGCUMGUUGGUGAGGUAAUAGCUCACCAAGGCGACGAUGUCUAGGGGGUCUGAGAGGAUGAUCCCCCACACUGGUACUGAGACACGGACCAGACUCCUACGGGAGGCAGCAGUGAGGAAUAUUGCGCAAUGGAGGAAACUCUGACGCAGCCAUGCCGCGUGCAGGAUGACAGCCCUACGGGUUGUAAACUGCUUUUCUGCAGGAAGAACCUUCCGUACGUGUACGGAACUGACGGUACUGCAGGAAUAAGCAUCGGCUAACUCCGUG